rnacentral:rRNA from 1 species
UUGACCUCGGAUCAGGUAGGAAUACCCGCUGAACUUAAGCAUAUCAAUAAGCGGAGGAAAAGAAACCAACAGGGAUUGCCCCAGUAACGGCGAGUGAAGCGGCAACAGCUCAAAUUUGAAAUCUGGCCCCAGGCCCGAGUUGUAAUUUGUAGAGGAUGCUUCUGGUUAGGUGCCUUCUGAGUUCCCUGGAACGGGACGCCAGAGAGGGUGAGAGCCCCGUAUAGUCGUGCACCGAGCCUCUGUGUAGCACCUUCGACGAGUCGAGUAGUUUGGGAAUGCUGCUCAAAAUGGGAGGUAAACUUCUUCUAAAGCUAAAUACCGGCCAGAGACCGAUAGCGCACAAGUAGAGUGAUCGAAAGAUGAAAAGCACUUUGAAAAGAGGGUUAAACAGUACGUGAAACAAUUGAAAAGGAAGCACUUGUGACCAGACUUGUGCCGCGCGAAUCAUCCAGCGUUCUCGCUGGUGCACUUUGCGCGGCUCAGGCCAGCAUCGGUUUUCCCGGGGGGACAAAAGCUCAGGGAACGUAGCUCCUUCGGGAGUGUUAUAGCCCUCUGCACAAUGCUCCCGGGGGGACCGAGGUUCGCGCUCUGCAAGGAUGCUGGCGUAAUGGUCAUCAGUGGCCCGUCUUGAAACACGGACCAAGGAGUCAAGCAUUAGGGCGAGUGUUUGGGUGUAAAACCCGCACGCGAAAUGAAAGUGAACGUAGGUGAGAGCUUCGGCGCAUCAUCGACCGAUCCUGAUGUACUCGGAUGGAUUUGAGUAAGAGCCUUACCGCUUGGACCCGAAAGAUGGUGAACUAUGCUUGUAUAGGGUGAAGCCAGAGGAAACUCUGGUGGAGGCUCGCAGCGGUUCUGACGUGCAAAUCGAUCGUCAAAUAUGAGCAUGGGGGCGAAAGACUAAUCGAACUAUCUAGUAGCUGGUUACCGCCGAAGUUUCCCUCAGGAUAGCAGUGUUGUUUUCAGUUUUAUGAGGUAAAGCGAAUGAUUAGGGACUCGGGGGCGCUAUUUAGCCUUCAUCCAUUCUCAAACUUUAAAUAUGUAAGAAGCCCUUGUUACUUCAUUGAACGUGGGCCUUCGAAUGUAUCAACACUAGUGGGCCAUUUUUGGUAAGCAGAACUGGCGAUGCGGGAUGAACCGAACGCGGGGUUAAGGUGCCGGAGUGGACGCUCAUCAGACACCACAAAAGGCGUUAAUACAUCCAGACAGUAGGACGGUGGCCAUGGAAGUCGGAAUCCGCUAAGGACUGUGUAACAACUCACCUACCGAAUGUAUUAGCCCUGAAAAUGGAUGGCGCUCAAGCGUCCCACCCAUACCCCGCCCUCAGGGUAGAAACGAUGCCCUGAGGAGUAGGCGGCCGUGAGGAUCCGUGACGAAGCCUUGGGCGUGAGCCCGGGUAGAACGAUCCUCAGUGCAGAUCUUGGUGGUAGUAGCAAAUACUUCAAUGAGAACUUGAAGGACCGAAGUGGGGAAAGGUUUCAUGUGAACAGCGGUUGGACAUGAGUUAGUCGAUCCUAAGCCAUAGGGAAGUUCCGUUUCAAAGGGGUACUUGUACCCCGUGUGGCGAAAGGGAAGCAGGUCAAUAUUUCUGCACCUGGAUGUGGGUUUUGCGCGGCAACGCAACAGAACGCGGAGACGGUGGCGGGGGCCCCGGGCAGAGUUCUCUUUUCUUCUUAACGGUCUACCACCCUGGAAACAGUUUGUCUGGAGAUAGGGUCCAACGGCCGGAAGAGCCCAGCACCUCUGUUGGGUCCGGUGCGCUCUCGACACCCCUUGAAAAUCCGCGGGAUGGAAUAAUUCUCACGCCAGAUCGUACUCAUAACCGCAGCA